rnacentral:rRNA from 1 species
GACGAACGCUGGCGGCGUGCUUAACACAUGCAAGUCGUACGGUAAGGCCCUUUCGGGGGUACACGAGUGGCGAACGGGUGAGUAACACGUGCGUAACCUGCCCACAACUUUGGGAUAACGCUAGGAAACUGGUGCUAAUACUGGAUAUGUGCUCCUGCUGCCUGGUGGGGGUUGGAAAGCUCCGGCGGUUGUGGAUGGACUCGCGGCCUAUCAGCUUGUUGGUGGGGUAGUGGCCUACCAAGGCGGCGGCGGGUAGCCGGCCUGGGAGGGUGACCGGCCACAUUGGGACUGAGAUACGGCCCAGACUCCUACGGGAGGCAGCAGUGGGGAAUAUUGCACAAGGGGCGCAAGCCUGAUGCAGCAACGCCGCGUGCGGGAUGACGGCCUUCGGGUUGGAAACCGCUUUCAGCAGGGACGAAGCUUUUUGUGACGGUACCUGCAGAAGAAGCACCGGCUAACUACGUG